rnacentral:rRNA from 1 species
AUGGCUGGAGUGGUGCGCCUGUGGAAUGAUUGGGAGGUCCAAGUCCUAGUGCUUUUUAGCUUUGUGUUGCAAGUGUUCUUGCUCAUGUUUGCUAGAACGCGACGGCGGAACAUCUCCAUCGUCCCAAGGACCCUGCUCUGGCUAGCAUACCUGCUGGCUGACUCCAUAGAGAUAUACAUCCUUGGCCACAUGUCCUUCUGUAGUAAGUCCCAUGAGUACCAACAGCUUGCGGCGUUCUGGACGCCGUUCCUGUUGGUGCAUCUCGGUGGCCAGGACACUGUCACUGCCUAUGCCAUGGAAGACAACCAUCUAUGGCCACGCCACCUACUCUCUCUGGUUGUGCAGGCCUUUGGAGUAGCUUAUGUCUUGUACAAGUAUACGGCAGGCAGCUGGACCAUGGUCACAGGCGGGGUGUUGAUAUUUGUCGCUGGUAUUCUCAAGUAUGGGGAGAGAGUAUGGGCGCUUAAGUCAGCUAACCUGGAGAACAUCAGUAACCUCCUUGAAAGUAGGAAGUUUAGAGAGGCUCAACAACAAGAUCAAAUAGCGCCUUACCGCCCGCAUGAAUUGUGGGACCAGGCAGAGGGGUUGGGUUUUGAAGAGGUUCUACAGGGAGCUCAUGACCUGCUCCCCAUUUGCAUGGGUCAGUUCAUGGAUUAUAAGUUCUGGCCGUCCCCAUUCCAGAGUAAAGCCAUAAGGGUAGUAGUUGAUAAGGGAUGUGCGUGUGAGUUGAUUGAGAUGCAGCUGUCUUUGAUGCAUGAUGUUUUGUACACCAAGGCAACCGUGAUCCACACAUGGCGGGGAUGCUUCAUCCGUGUUGUUUCAUUGGUUGCCAUCAUCACCACAUUCUUCCUCUUUCGAUCCAGCAAUGGUACAAAUGAUUUCGGAAGAGUUGAUGUCAUCGUCACGUACAUCUUACUGGGUGGGGCUUUCCUCCUAGAGACAGCAUCAGUGUUGAGGGCGAUUGGAUCAACAUGGAUGUGUGCAUUGUUGCGUGCUGGAAGAUGGGAUUGGCUCCAUAGCAUAAUCAUAUCUGCUCGGCGGCAUGUCAAGGCAGCAGAAAGAAGUAGAAGAUGGUUAGGUUCCAUUGGACAGUACAAGUUAAUGCUGCUGGAGGUGGAUGGGUCAACCGUUCAAGUUACGAUUGGACUCGAGCAGCGUAAUUUGUUUGUGUGCGGGGACUUGUGGAAGAAGAUGCACCCUUCCUUAACUGUGAUUUCAGAUGCUACUAAGAAGUUGGUGCUAAAAGAGAUUCAAAGAAUGGUGGAGGCGUGUGCAGGUAAAGAGGAAAUCAUGAUGAGUUACAGUGGCCAGUGCGCGUUGAAUCCAUGGCAUGGAUUCUUUGAGGAUCCCACCUUGAACACGGGCAUUGAUUUUGAUAAUAAAAUCUUUACCUGGCAUUUUGCCACGGAAAUUUUCAUCUAUACCUGGCAUGCAGGUCCCCUUGUGGAGGCAAUCAGGGAGCUGUCUAACUACAUGUUAUUCCUCCUUGUUGAACGGCCUUACAUGCUUCCCAGCCCUGUUCGGCCAGGAUUGUAUGCCACUGCUGAAGUAGGAUAUGUGGGAUUGGGUAAGCCAGGUGCGAAGAAUCUCAUUGAACGCAUCCAAAGAAAGGAGCUUGGCUCUGGAGCUCCGCCUGCCUUAGCCCAUGGAGCAGAGCUUGCCAGAAGGCUGCUAGAUAUGGAGGAGCGGGGCGUGCCGGAGGUGCUGAAGGUGGUACUUGGGGUGUGGGUGGAGAUGUUGUGCUAUGCGUCCCACCACUGCAGCAGGGAUUCCCACGCCAGGCAGCUCAACAGCGGCGGUGAGUUCAUUACCGUCGUGUGGCUUCUAUCAACUGCCAUGUUCAAUCGCAUGUACUGUGGCGAACCAUGGUUUAAGGAGGACGUGGAUAAAUACUUCAGUCCACUAUUCGAGACUAUUCUUCUGUAG